CCCACCCGUGUCUACAUACUCUUGUUGCUUUGGCAGGCCGUGGUCUCCCACUGUGGGCUCAUGCCUGCAUGUGCCUGCCAGAGGACCAAACUCUGAAUUUUAGUGAUGUCUGAGUACUAUAUAAUAGUUAAAACUUUCAACAACGGAUCUCUUGGUUCUGGCAUCGAUGAAGAACGCAGCGAAAUGCGAUAAGUAAUGUGAAUUGCAGAAUUCAGUGAAUCAUCGAAUCUUUGAACGCACAUUGCACCCGGUGGUAUUCCGCCGGGUAUGCCUGUUCGAGCGUCUGUAGAACAACAACUAUAGCAAGCUUUAGGCUUGAUUCUGGGGUUGCGGCGUCAAGCUGCAGCCUUGAAGUCCACGGGCGGUUCCGAUAGGUUCUACGCGUAGUAAUUUCUCCUCGCUACUGAACUUUGUCGGCACAUUUGGUACUAAGUCCAGCAAUGGCCACGCCAAGCCCUUAACACCCAAUUUUAGUUUGACCUCGGAUCAAGUAGGGAUACCCGCUGAACUUAAGCAUA
rnacentral:rRNA from 1 species